rnacentral:rRNA from 1 species
UACAGAGGUGGCAAGCGUUGUUCGGAAUUACUGGGCGUAAAGGGCGCGUAGGCGGCCUUCUAAGUCAGACGUGAAAUCCCCCGGCUUAACCUGGGAACUGCGUCUGAUACUGGGAGGCUUGAGUAUGGGGAGAGGGAUGUAGAAUUCCAGGUGUAGCGGUGAAAUGCGUAGAUAUCUGGAGGAAUACCGGUGGCGAAGGCGGCAUCCUGGACCAUAACUGACGCUGAGGCGCGAAAGCCAGGGGAGCAAACGGG